ensembl:lncRNA
UCCAUGAUCUCAUUGGAAUCUAUUAAUACUCUCUGAUAUAUUCCCAUUUUUCAAUGAGAAAAUUGAAGAUGAUGGGAAUGGAAGUGACUUGCUCAAGGACGUACAGCAAGUCAGUGCAGGAGUCAAGACUGGACCCAGAAUCCUGCACUGAGUCCAGUGCUUUUCCACCAACUCUUGCAGUCUUCCCUGAGCUCCGGCUAUAUGUGAAGCAUCUAUAAUCCAGGAUACAGCUUACUGUUUGGUCCCACAUCACUGCACUCUGACAACAAGUCUCCUGCUUCUGCUGAGGCCAAAGCUGUAUCCCCAGUAAACUCUCAAACUAUGAUUCUUCUCCUAAAAGAAAUGGCAGCCAGUUACCAGAACUGGUGAUCCAAGACAGCCACAUCUCCAACACAUGCCAAGAGUACAAUUAAAUGUUAGAUGACAGGUUUGAGGAGAGAUGAACAUUAUCUCCCCAGCCAAGCAGCAUGCACUGCUGAGAAAUUAACUGCUGUCUGGUACUCACAGCCAGCUGGAUUUAGCCACUCAUCUCAUGUUGGACAUGACCAUCAGGAGCUCAAAGGGGCCACUCUGUCCUUAGUCAGUACAAAGAUCAGGAGGUGGUGAUGUGUGUCAUCAGCAUGGGUCCAGAUGGCAGCACCUGUUUGCAGGCACUGAGAGAAGCAGUAUGAUAAUAGCUCUCAGUGUCGCUUGACAUGACUCUAGGGGUAGAGAAUGCAGGCUUGACUGUCAGUACCAGAGGCUGGUCUCCUCUCACUCUAACACACUGGCAACAGCACAAGCACUGCUGAGAUAACAAAUCAUCAAGCCCAAAGACCCCCUCCUUAGCCCCUAUGUGACACUGAAGCCCUGGCAAGCUUUGUUCUUUUGAGAGGGGAAUCUUGUUACUUCCUUCUGGAGCAUUGGCUCUCUGGGUGGCACUGAAUUUCCCUUUCUGUUGUCACUUGCUCUUCACUCUUUCUUCACUAUGGCAACCCAGGAGAGGGAGCCAGCACUGAAAUCAACUCCUCCCCACAGACAUAUGUGGAACAGCAAAUGUACCCUCUCUAAUAUUAGGGAAGGGGAACAUUUUUAACCCUAUCUCCAUGCUUCAGAGUUGGUCCUUGGUGGAGAGCAAAUACUUUCACUCACAAUUCCAGGCACUUGAUAUAGAUCUUCCUGCAUAGGAUCUACUAAUUUGAUUGGUCUGAGAUCAAUCAUUAGGCUACAUCUCACCAGUGAGCAGAGUCAUCACAGUGAAAAGUGAUAUACAUCUGUGACUAUAUCGUUGGUUCCACCUGCUAUGGAUGAUUAGGUUAGGCCAAAUUUAUUCUGAAUACCUUGGCUUCUCAGAUUCAGAGGGGAGGGAGUAGAUUAAGCUGCAAUUUCCAACCCAUUUUUUUUUUAACCAGAGAACCUUGCAACAGAAGAAUAGAAAAAGGGGAGGCAGGGUUACCAAGCAUAUGCUGUAUUCUUGAAUCAAGCUUUUAUUAAUAAAUGGUACUUUGCUUGCUGUUCUACUCAUAUCUCCUUGUGCUUAUAGCUUUCUCAGUGCGAAGCCUAGAGAAGAAGGGUGACUAGUUGGAUUCAGGCAUGAAAACUCCGCCUUAAACCCACAACACCUAGAAAGAUUAGUGCGGGAUCAGAGUCUGGUCCCAGCCUAUGUCUACACUGGGCAGGGAAGGGGCACUUGUUCAAUUUCUUCACCUUCCACUGAGCUCUGAGGACCUGGGGAACAAAUUCAAUUUCCAUUCAAAUUCCAUACUGAGCUUCUAGUUGUGUGUUGCUCUUUCAUGGGCAUCCAGAUGUGACCUGACUGUAGUGGGAUUGUUAGCCUGGGCUUAGGGGUUUUGCCUUGGGUUAGCAGUGAAAAUUUCCCCUGCUCAAACAGAUUCAUGGAAACUUUAAGCACUUUUGGAAAGCUGAUGACAAUUGCCGUAGGUAAGUUAAGUUUAAAAUAAAAAUCCGUUCUUUGUAAACUUAUUUUAAACGCUUUUUUAAUGACUAUGUAAUAUUUUCUGAGGUGGAGGCAGUGUCGUGGGAAGGAAAGAACACCAGAAUCAGGAGACUUGACUCAGGGCAUUGAAAAAAUACACUGAUGAAAGGAGCCUUAUUAUUCUUGAGACCGGCUACAGUGGCAGUCUUCAGGAGGCCUGGGAUAAAGCCAGAGGGACCUGUGGCCAUUUACCAGGAUAACCAUGCACUGGGCAACUGGAAAUACUCAUACUUUUCAGAGAUUAUUGGACACUGACUCUGAGCUCAUUGUCUAUCAGGGCUGAGGGCUGGUGGUUAGAAUACAACAGUCAUCCACUGGUCAGAGUCAGGGCUUAUGGAGUCAAGAGACUGAACUUUAUCCUGAAUCUGUCUACAAUGGGUCCGAUGGAUCUGCAAAUACAUCAUAUGGUUAUUUCUUAGUUUCUGAAUGCACAUUUGAAAUAGCCGUACUCAGCAACUGGCAGAUCUACCACAUUUGGUAGAAGUGGCCAUUUUGGGGAAGCCCACAUGGCAAGAAACUGUGGGCAGCCUGAGGAAGCUGAGGGCGGCUGCUGGGAACUGAGAGAAGCCUCUAGGAGCUGAGGGCAGCCUGCAGUUCACUACCAGCAGGAAGCUGGGGCCUCUAGACCUACAACCAUAAUGAAAUGAAUUCUGCCAACAGCUUGAGUGAGCUUGGAAGUGGAUUCUUCCACAGUUGAGCCUCUACAUGAGAACCAGCUUGGCCUGACACCUUGUUUGCAAGCUACUGAGAUCCUAAGCAGAGAAGCCAACUAAGUUGAGCCCAGAGUCCUAAGCCACUGAAAUGGUGAGAUGAUAAAUUUAUGUUGUGGUAAUUUGUUCCAUAGCAAUGGAAAACAAACACAGCGUUCAAUGUCCAUUCCACAUUUCCCAGAUUCCCUUGCAACUAGGAUUCUGGAUAUAUUAUAGGCCAAUCAGAUGAUACUCGUGAGACUUGAACGACAGAAGGGAGGUGGAGGCUAUGUUUGUGGCAUUUCUGCUGGUAAACGUGGUUGUAAAGAUGUCUGGUUGUUCUAUUGUAACUUAGUCACUAGCUUGCGGAGACUGAGAGGCUUGGCCUCCAUUUUGCUGGUGGAAAUCAUAGCAGGUAGAGCAUGGUUCAGGAGGUAGCAGCUGUAGUGUUGGUUUUUUAUCAUGGCAGUGGGAAGUAGCAGUUUCCUAAUCAUAGAAGAACUAGCAAUUUCCUUGGUGGCUUGGUUCUGUG